UUUAUCGGAGAGUUUGAUCCUGGCUCAGGACGAACGCUGGCGGCGUGCCUAAUACAUGCAAGUCGAGCGGACAGAUGGGAGCU
rnacentral:rRNA from 6 species